GAUGAACGCUAGCGGCAGGCUUAACACAUGCAAGUCGAGGGGUAUAGGUUUUCGGACCUAGAGACCGGCGCACGGGUGCGUAACGCGUAUGCAAUCUACCUUUCACAGAGGGAUAGCCCAGAGAAAUUUGGAUUAAUACCUCAUAGUAUAGCAGUUUCGCAUGAAACCACUAUUAAAGUAUCAACGGGGAAAGAUGAGCAUGCGUCCCAUUAGCUAGAUGGUAAGGUAACGGCUUACCAUGGCUACGAUGGAUAGGGGUCCUGAGAGGGAGAUCCCCCACACUGGUACUGAGACACGGACCAGACUCCUACGGGAGGCAGCAGUGAGGAAUAUUGGUCAAUGGACGCAAGUCUGAACCAGCCAUGCCGCGUGCAGGAUGACGGUCCUAUGGAUUGUAAACUGCUUUUGUACGAGAAGAAACAACAUUACGUGUAAUGUCUUGACGGUAUCGUAAGAAUAAGGAUCGGCUAACUCCGUGCCAGCAGCCGCAGUAAAAC
rnacentral:rRNA from 1 species